rnacentral:rRNA from 1 species
AUUCCAGCUCCAAUAGCGUAUAUUAAAGUUGUUGCAGUUAAAAAGCUCGUAGUUGGAUUUCUGGUGGGGCUGUCGGCCUGGCUCCGAAAGGGGUCGUGGUUAGUACACGCCUGGCCAUCCUCGGGGGAAGCUUUGCUGGCAUUAAGUUGUCGGCGGAGUGACGCUCGUCGUUUACUGUGAACAAAUUAGAGUGUUCAAAGCAGGCUUAGGCCGUUGAAUACAUUAGCAUGGAAUAAUGAGAUAGGACUUCGGUGGUCUAUUUUGUUGGUUUGCACGCCGAAGUAAUGAUUAAUAGGGGCGGUUGGGGGUAUUCGUAUUCAAUUGUCAGAGGUGAAAUUCUUGGAUUUAUGGAAGACGAACUACUGCGAAAGCAUUUACCAAGGAUGUUUUCAUCA